CCAGACUCCUACGGGAGGCAGCAGUGGGGAAUAUUGCACAAUGGGCGAAAGCCUGAUGCAGCAACGCCGCGUGAGUGAUGAAGGCCUUCGGGUCGUAAAGCUCUUUGAUCAGGGAUGAUAAUGACAGUACCUGAAAAACAAGCCACGGCUAACUACGUGCCAGCAGCCGCGGUAAUACGUAGGUGGCGAGCGUUGUCCGGAAUUAUUGGGCGUAAAGGAUGCGUAGGUGGAUAUUUAAGUGAGAUGUGAAAUCCCCGGGCUCAACCCGGGAACUGCAUUUCAAACUGGAUGUCUAGAGUGCAGGAGAGGAAAGCGGAAUUCCUAGUGUAGCGGUGAAAUGCGUAGAUAUUAGGAGGAACACCAGUGGCGAAGGCGGCUUUCUGGACUGUAACUGACACUGAGGCAUGAAAGCGUGGGUAGCAAACAGGAUUAGAUACCCUGGUAGUCCACGCCGUAAACGAUGGGUACUAGGUGUAGGAGGUAUCGACCCCUUCUGUGCCGUCGUUAACACAAUAAGUACCCCGCCUGGGGAGUACGGUCGCAAGACUAAAACUCAAAGGAAUUGACGGGGGCCCGCACAAGCAGCGGAGCAUGUGGUUUAAUUCGAAGCAACGCGAAGAACCUUACCUAGACUUGACAUCUCCUGAAUUACCCGUAACUGGGGAAGCUCUUCGGAGCAGGAAGACAGGUGGUGCAUGGUUGUCGUCAGCUCGUGUCGUGAGAUGUUGGGUUAAGUCCCGCAACGAGCGCAACCCUUAUUUUUAGUUGCUACCAUUUAGUUGAGCACUCUAAAGAGACUGCCCGGGUUAACCGGGAGGAAGGUGGGGAUGACGUCAAAUCAUCAUGCCCCUUAUGUCUAGGGCUACACACGUGCUACAAUGGUGAGAACAAAGAGACGCAAUACCGCGAGGUCAAGCAAAUCUCAUAAAUCUCAUCCCAGUUCGGAUUGCAGGCUGAAACUCGCCUGCAUGAAGCCGGAGUUGCUAGUAAUCGCGAAUCAGCAUGUCGCGGUGAAUACGUUCCCGGGCCUUGUACACACCGCCCGUCACACCAUGAGAGUUGGCAAUACCCGAAGUCCGUGGGGUAACCGUAAGGGACCAGCGGCCGAAGGUAGGGUCAGCGAUUGGGGUGAAGUCGUAACAAGGUAGCCGUAGGAGAACCUGCGGCUG
rnacentral:rRNA from 1 species